rfam:Schistosoma haematobium scaffold1366_12, whole genome shotgun sequence.
AUCCAGUUGACGAGUCCCAAACAGGACGAAAUGCGCGUCCUGGAU